AGUGAACGCUGGCGGUAAGCCUAACACAUGCAAGUCGAACGGCAGCACAGUAAGAGCUUGCUCUUACGGGUGGCGAGUGGCGGACGGGUGAGGAAUACAUCGGAAUCUACUUUUUCGUGGGGGAUAACGUAGGGAAACUUACGCUAAUACCGCAUACGACCUACGGGUGAAAGCAGGGGAUCUUCGGACCUUGCGCGAUUGAAUGAGCCGAUGUCGGAUUAGCUAGUUGGCGGGGUAAAGGCCCACCAAGGCGACGAUCCGUAGCUGGUCUGAGAGGAUGAUCAGCCACACUGGAACUGAGACACGGUCCAGACUCCUACGGGAGGCAGCAGUGGGGAAUAUUGGACAAUGGGCGCAAGCCUGAUCCAGCCAUACCGCGUGGGUGAAGAAGGCCUUCGGGUUGUAAAGCCCUUUUGUUGGGAAAGAAAAGCAGCAGGUUAAUACCCCGCUGUUCUGACGGUACCCAAAGAAUAAGCACCGGCUAACUUCGUG
rnacentral:rRNA from 1 species